rnacentral:rRNA from 1 species
AACGAACGCUGGCGACAUGCCUAACACAUGCAAGUCGAACGAGACCUUCGGGUCUAGGGGCGCACGGGUGCGUAACGCGUGGGAGUCUGCCCUUGGCAGCGGAAUAACAGGUAGAAAUGACUGCUAAUACCGGAUGAUGUCUUCGGACCAAAGAUUUAUCGGCCAGGGAAGAGCCCGCGUAGGAUUAGGUAGUUGGUGGGGUAAAGGCCUACCAAGCCGACGAUCCUUAGCUGGGCUGAGAGGAUGAUCAGCCACACUGGGACGGAGACACGGCCCAGACUCCUACGGGAGGCAGCAGUGGGGAAUAUUGGACAAUGGGCGCAAGCCUGAUCCAGCAAUGCCGCGUGAGUGAUGAAGGCCUUAGGGUCGUAAAGCUCUUUUACCCGGGAUGAUAAUGACAGUACCGGGAGAAUAAGCUCCGGCUAACUCCGUGCCAGCCGCCGCUGUAA